UACGGAGGGUGCAAGCGUUAUCCGGAUUUACUGGGUUUAAAGGGUGCGCAGGCGGAUAUGUAAGUCAGUGGUGAAAUCUCCAGGCUUAACCUGGAAAUUGCCGUUGAUACUAUAUAUCUUGAAUGCUGUGGAGGUAAGCGGAAUAUGUCAUGUAGCGGUGAAAUGCUUAGAGAUGACAUAGAACACCUAUUGCGAAGGCAGCGUUACUACGCAGAUAUUGACGCUCAUGCACGAAAGCGUGGGGAGCAAACAGG
rnacentral:rRNA from 1 species